GUGGUUUAAUUCGAUGCAACGCGAAGAACCUUACCUGGUCUUGACAUCCCGGAGACCCUUAGGAAACUAGGGGUGCUUCCAUCUGGAAGAAUCUGGAGACAGGUGCUGCAUGGCUGUCGUCAGCUCGUGUCGUGAGAUGUUGGGUUAAGUCCCGCAACGAGCGCAACCCUUGCCUUUAGUUGCCAGCAGUUCGGCUGGGCACUCUAAAGGGACUGCCGGUGUUAAACCGGAGGAAGGUGGGGAUGACGUCAAGUCCUCAUGGCCUUUAUGACCAGGGCUACACACGUACUACAAUGGCCGAUACAAAGGGCAGCGACACUGCGAGGUGAAGCCAAUCCCGUAAAAUCGGUCUCAGUCCGGAUUGGAGUCUGCAACUCGACUCCAUGAAGUUGGAAUCGCUAGUAAUCGUGGAUCAGCAUGCCACGGUGAAUACGUUCCCGGGCCUU
rnacentral:rRNA from 1 species